rnacentral:rRNA from 1 species
GGAUGAACGCUGGCGGCGUGCCUAAUACAUGCAAGUCGAGCGAACAGACGAGGCGCUUGCUCCUCUGACGUUAGCGGCGGACGGGUGAGUAACACGUGGAUAACCUACCUAUAAGACUGGGAUAACUUCGGGAAACCGGAGCUAAUACCGGAUAACAUGUUGAACCGCAUGGUUCAACAGUGAAAGACGGUUUUGCUGUCACUUAUAGAUGGAUCCGCGUCGCAUUAGCUAGUUGGUAAGGUAACGGCUUACCAAGGCAACGAUGCGUAGCCGACCUGAGAGGGUGAUCGGCCACACUGGAACUGAGACACGGUCCAGACUCCUACGGGAGGCAGCAGUAGGGAAUCUUCCGCAAUGGGCGAAAGCCUGACGGAGCAACGCCGCGUGAGUGAAGAAGGUCUUCGGAUCGUAAAACUCUGUUAUUAGGGAAGAACAAAUGUGUAAGUAACUAUGCACGUCUUGACGGUACCUAAUCAGAAAGCCACGGCUAACUACGUG